UACAGAGGUCUCAAGCGUUGUCCGGAUUUACUGGGCGUAAAGAGCGCGCAGGCGGUCGAUCAAGUCGAGUGUGAAAGCCCCCGGCUCAACUGGGGAGGGUCAUUCGAUACUGAUCGACUCGAAGGCAGGAGAGGGUAGUGGAAUUCCUGGUGUAGCGGUGAAAUGCGCAGAUAUCAGGAGGAACACCAGUGGCGAAGGCGGUGCUCUGGGCCGGAACUGACGCUGAUGAGCGAAAGCGUGGGGAGCAAACAGG
rnacentral:rRNA from 1 species